rnacentral:tRNA from 1 species
GCGGAUGUGGCGGAAUUGGCAGACGCGCCAGGUUUAGGUCCUGGUAUCGCAAGAUGUGCAGGUUCGAGUCCUGUCAUCCGCACCA